rnacentral:rRNA from 1 species
CCUACGGGUGGCUGCAGUGGGGAAUAUUGGACAAUGGGCGAAAGCCUGAUCCAGCCAUGCCGCGUGUGUGAAGAAGGCCUUCGGGUUGUAAAGCACUUUCAGUGGGGAAGAAAGCCUUGGGGCUAAUACCCUCGAGGAAGGACAUCACCCACAGAAGAAGCACCGGCUAACUCCGUGCCAGCAGCCGCGGUAAUACGGAGGGUGCGAGCGUUAAUCGGAAUUACUGGGCGUAAAGCGCGCGUAGGCGGUCUGAUAAGCCGGUUGUGAAAGCCCCGGGCUCAACCUGGGAACGGCAUCCGGAACUGUCAGGCUAGAGUGCAGGAGAGGAAGGUAGAAUUCCCGGUGUAGCGGUGAAAUGCGUAGAGAUCGGGAGGAAUACCAGUGGCGAAGGUGGCCUUCUGGACUGACACUGACGCUGAGGUGCGAAAGCGUGGGUAGCAAACAGGAUUAGAUACCCGGGUAGUC